rfam:Schistosoma rodhaini strain Burundi genome assembly, scaffold: SROB_scaffold0000985
AGCUUUUCGAAUCCGUGAAGAGGCUUCGUCAGACACCAACCCAUUAGGGCUGAUCAGAGUUCCAAGAUGAGUGAAGUU